UACGGAGGGUGCAAGCGUUAUCCGGAUUCACUGGGUUUAAAGGGUGCGUAGGCGGGUUGGUAAGUCCGUGGUGAAAUCCCCAAGCUUAACUUGGGAACUGCCGUGGAUACUAUCAAUCUUGAAUAUCGUGGAGGUAAGCGGAAUAUGUCAUGUAGCGGUGAAAUGCUUAGAUAUGACAUAGAACACCAAUUGCGAAGGCAGCUGGCUACGCAUAUAUUGACACUGAGGCACGAAAGCGUGGGGAUCAAACAGG
rnacentral:rRNA from 1 species